rnacentral:rRNA from 1 species
UGAAAUCUCACCAGGCCCGGACACUGGAAGGAUUGACAGAUUGAUAGCUCUUUCUUGAUUCGGUGGGUGGUGGUGCAUGGCCGUUCUUAGUUGGUGGAGCGAUCUGUCUGGUUAAUUCCGAUAACGAACGAGACCCCAACCUGCUAACUAGCCCUCGGGUCCUGCUUCUGUUGGGCCCGACGGAAUGAUUCGCUUCUUAGAGGGACUCGCGGCGCCUAGCCGCACGAAGGGGGGCGAUAA